rnacentral:rRNA from 1 species
UACGUAGGGUGCGAGCGUUAAUCGGAAUUACUGGGCGUAAAGCGUGCGCAGGCGGUGCUGUAAGACAGGCGUGAAAUCCCCGGGCUCAACCUGGGAAUUGCGCUUGUGACUGCAGCGCUGGAGUGCGGCAGAGGGGGAUGGAAUUCCGCGUGUAGCAGUGAAAUGCGUAGAUAUGCGGAGGAACACCGAUGGCGAAGGCAAUCCCCUGGGCCUGCACUGACGCUCAUGCACGAAAGCGUGGGGAGCAAACAGGAUUAGAUACCCUGGUAGUCCACGCCCUAAACGAUGUCAACUGGUUGUUGGGAAUUUACUUUCUCAGUAACGAAGCUAACGCGUGAAGUUGACCGCCUGGGGAGUACGGCCGCAAGGUUGAA